CUUUAUUUUCUUAUAUAUCUCCCUGAUUGAUUCUGUCGACGGUUAUAACCAUGUAUAUCUAAGUUUAAAUAAACCUAUAAUGGUGAAACCGCGAACGGCUCAUUAUAACAGCUAUAAUGUACUUGAUGUUGAUUAUCCAACUUGGAUAACUGUGGCAAUUCUAGAGCUAAUACAUGCACCAAAGCUCCGACUUUUUGAACGAGCGCAUCUAUUAGAUUAAAACCAAUCGGAACAAAUUUGAUUUGAUCCGUUAAUUUGGUGACUCUAAAUAGCUAUAGCUGAUCGCAUGGUCUUGUACCGGCGACAUAUCUAUCAAGUGUCUGCCUUAUCAACUUUCGAUGGUAGUUUAUGUGCCUACCAUGGUUGUAACGGGUAACGGAGAAUAAGGGUUCGACUCCGGAGAGGGAGCCUGAGAAACGGCUACCACAUCCAAGGAAGGCAGCAGGCGCGCAAAUUACCCAAUCUCAGAAUGAGGAGGUAGUGACGAAAAAUAACGAGACCGUUCUCUAUGAGGCCGGUUAUCGGAAUGGGUACAAUUUAAACCUGUUAACGAGGAUCUAUGAGAGGGCAAGUCUGGUGCCAGCAGCCGCGGUAAUUCCAGCUCUCAAAGUGUAUAUCGUCAUUGCUGCGGUUAAAAAGCUCGUAGUUGGAUCUGCGUCUUAGAACUUGGUCCAUCCAAAUGGAUGUGAACUAGGAUUCUAGACUAAAUAUUACAAGUUUUCUAUAUGUUACCUUAAUUGGUUGCAUAUAGUAGCUAGUAAGUUUACCUUGAAAAAAUUAGAGUGCUCAAUGCGGGCUUAAUGCCUGAAUACUCGUGCAUGGAAUAAUAAAAUAGGAUCUUGGUUCUAUUUUGUUGGUUUUCUGAUCUGAGAUAAUGGUUAAGAGGGACGGACGGGGCAUUCGUAUCGCUACGUGAGAGGUGAAAUUCUUGGACCGUAGCGAGACGUACAACUGCGAAAGCAUUUGCCAAGAAUGUCUUCAUUAAUCAAGAACGAAAGUCAGAGGUUCGAAGGCGAUCAGAUACCGCCCUAGUUCUGACCGUAAACGAUACCAACUAGCGUUCCGUCGGCGGUAAAUACGCCUUGACGGGCAGCUUCCCGGAAACGAAAGUUUUCGGUUCCGGGGAAGUAUGGUUGCAAAGCUGAAACUUAAAGAAAUUGACGGAAGGGCACCACCAGGAGUGGAGCCUGCGGCUUAAUUUGACUCAACACGGGAAAACUCACCUGGCCCGGACACCGUGAGGAUUGACAGAUUGAGUUUUUUAAUAUAUCAUUAUAGUAGAAAUGGACGUUGACCACUUCUUUCUUUCCAACAUAUCUUCAUUUACUUCACAUAUAAAUCUAUCAUCUAUACCAAGAUCUUCGGAAAGAUUAUCGGUUCGAAUAAUUGUCCUUUCAAUUGUCUUCGCACUUGGUCCAGCAAAAACUGUUACUUUAUUCUGUAAACCAUUUGAAAACGUGUCUUAAAAUUUUAAAAUUAGAGAUAAACAUGAAAGAAUCUUCUAAACUUCACUAUAGAAAUAUUUAUU